rnacentral:rRNA from 1 species
UACAGAGGAUGCAAGCGUUAUCCGGAAUGAUUGGGCGUAAAGCGUCUGUAGGUGGCUUUUUAAGUCCGCCGUCAAAUCCCAGGGCUCAACUCUGGACAGGCGGUGGAAACUACCAAGCUGGAGUACGGUAGGGGCAGAGGGAAUUUCCGGUGGAGCGGUGAAAUGCGUAGAGAUCGGAAAGAACACCAGUGGCGAAGGCGCUCUACUGGGCCACAACUGACGCUGAGGGACGAAAGCUAGGGGAGCGAAAGGG